CAAGAUGGAGGACUCGUUUAUGCGCCAAACGGCGUUUCUAUAUGAAGCUUGAGUGAUUACCCAGGCCCGAGAGGCCAGCCUGCCUUUCCCCAAUGUUCACUUUGAGAUACAAGACAGUGCAAGGUACAUGUGACAAUCCUCUUCAUACCAUACCCUGGAGAGUGUCAUCCGAUCUGCUUGGAUGAAAUUCAGAGCUGCCUGCUGAU